rnacentral:lncRNA from 1 species
UUAUCCCUUCUCAGUCAUUACAGAAUAACGAAGCCUGCAGUGAACUAUUAUGAUUUGUUAGGAUUUCUGUAGACUUUUAAGAAGGACCACCAACUCCAAAAAGAACCGAUGAAUUUAGUUAAAGGUUUAUCUGCAGGCCAUCGAUCCUCUAGGAGAGAAACGAAGAAGAAGGUGCAGAAAUUCUGAGCCGUCAAUCCUAAGC